rnacentral:misc_RNA from 1 species
GAUGAAGAACGCAGCGAAAUGCGAUAAGUAGUGUGAAUUGCAGAAUUCAGUGAAUCAUCGAAUCUUUGAACGCACAUUGCGCCCUUUGGUAUUCCAAAGGGCAUGCCUGUUCGAGCGUCAUUUGUACCCUCAAGCUUUGCUUGGUGUUGGGCGUCUUGUCUCUAGCUUUGCUGGAGACUCGCCUUAAAGUAAUUGGCAGCCGGCCUACUGGUUUCGGAGCGCAGCACAAGUCGCACUCUCUAUCAGCAAAGGUCUAGCAUCCAUUAAGCCUUUUUUUCAACUUUUGACCUCGGAUCAGGUAGGGAUACCCGCUGAACUUAAGCAUAUCAUAAGCGGAGA